UGUGUGUGUGUGUGUGUGUGUGUGUGUGUGUGUGUGUAUACACACACACACACACACACAUAUAUAUAUAUAUAUAUA